AUUGAACGCUGGCGGCAGGCUUAACACAUGCAAGUCGAGCGGGGGAAGGUAGCUUGCUACUGGACCUAGCGGCGGACGGGUGAGUAAUGCUUAGGAAUCUGCCUAUUAGUGGGGGACAACAACUCGAAAGGGAUGCUAAUACCGCAUACGUCCUACGGGAGAAAGCAGGGGAUCACUUGUGACCUUGCGCUAAUAGAUGAGCCUAAGUCGGAUUAGCUAGUUGGUGGGGUAAAGGCCUACCAAGGCGACGAUCUGUAGCGGGUCUGAGAGGAUGAUCCGCCACACUGGGACUGAGACACGGCCCAGACUCCUACGGGAGGCAGCAGUGGGGAAUAUUGGACAAUGGGGGGAACCCUGAUCCAGCCAUGCCGCGUGUGUGAAGAAGGCCUUAUGGUUGUAAAGCACUUUAAGCGAGGAGGAGGCUCUUUUGGUUAAUACCCAAGAUGAGUGGACGUUACUCGCAGAAUAAGCACCGGCUAACUCUGUGCCAGCAGCCGCCGUAA
rnacentral:rRNA from 1 species